rnacentral:rRNA from 1 species
AAAUUGAAGAGUUUGAUCAUGGCUCAGAUUGAACGCUGGCGGCAGGCCUAACACAUGCAAGUCGAACGGUAACAGGAAGCAGCUUGCUGUUUCGCUGACGAGUGGCGGACGGGUGAGUAA